UUCCAGACUCCUACGGGAGGCAGCAGUAGGGAAUUUUGCGCAAUGGGCGAAAGCCUGACGCAGCAACGCCGCGUGAUUGAUUAAGCCCUUCGGGGUGUAAAGAUCUGUCAGUGGGGACGAAACUUGACGGUACCCACAGAGGAAGCAUCGGCUAACUCCGUGCCAGCAGCCGCGGUAAUACGGAGGAUGCGAGCGUUAUCCGGAUUUAUUGGGUUUAAAGGGUGCGCAGGCGGAGGCACAAGUCAGCGGUAAAAUCGGGGGGCUCACCCCCGCUCCGCCGUUGAAACUGUGUCCCUUGAGUGCGCGAAGGGUAGGCGGAAUGCGUGGUGUAGCGGUGAAAUGCAUAGAUAUCACGCAGAACUCCGAUCGCGAAGGCAGCCUACCGGCGCGCAACUGACGCUCAUGCACGAAAGCGUGGGUAUCGAACAGGAUUAGAUACCCUGGUA
rnacentral:rRNA from 1 species